AUUGAACGCUGGCGGCAUGCCUUACACAUGCAAGUCGAACGGUAACGGGCCUUCGGGUGCCGACGAGUGGCGCACGGGUGAGUAAUACAUCGGAACGUGCCCGAUCGUGGGGGAUAACGAGGCGAAAGCUUUGCUAAUACCGCAUACGAUCUACGGAUGAAAGCAGGGGACCGCAAGGCCUUGCGCGGACGGAGCGGCCGAUGGCAGAUUAGGUAGUUGGUGGGAUAAAAGCUUACCAAGCCGACGAUCUGUAGCUGGUCUGAGAGGAUGAUCAGCCACACUGGGACUGAGACACGGCCCAGACUCCUACGGGGGGCAGCAGUGGGGAAUUUUGGACAAUGGGCGCAAGCCUGAUCCAGCCAUGCCGCGUGCAGGAUGAAGGCCUUCGGGUUGUAAACUGCUUUUGUACGGAACGAAAAGCCUUCUUUUAAUACAGGAGGGUCAUGACGGUACCGUAAGAAUAAGCACCGGCUAACUACGUG
rnacentral:rRNA from 1 species